rnacentral:lncRNA from 1 species
GAGAUUAUGGAUGCUUUCAGAGUUAACACAGUUGCUGCUUGAGAUAGAUCCCUUUUGAACUGUAACUACUAUUAUUUCUACCAUUUAUAGACGCAGGUCUUUGUGAGGAUUAAUCUGUGAUGGUUGCUUCCUUGUUAAGUAUCGCAGCUGCCUUCUGUGUAAACUUGAUUUGUACUUAAACUAAACAUACGGUGUUUACUGUCGUAGAUUCCUAGUAUGGUUUUCCAAUAUUUGAGUGAGAUUUCAAACAAAUUGUAAUUACAAAGAAUCAAUAUCAAGUCCCAUCCAAGUG